CACGUAGGGGCCGAGCGUUGUCCGGAUUCAUUGGGCGUAAAGAGCUCGUAGGCGGUUCAGUCAGUCGGGUGUGAAAUCUCCGGGCUCAACCCGGAGGGGCCACCCGAUACUGCUGUGACUCGAGUCCGGUAGGGGAGUGGGGAAUUCCUGGUGUAGCGGUGAAAUGCGCAGAUAUCAGGAGGAACACCGGUGGCGAAGGCGCCACUCUGGGCCGGUACUGACGCUGAGGAGCGAAAGCGUGGGUAGCAAACAGGAUUAGAAACCCCCGUAGUCC
rnacentral:rRNA from 1 species